rnacentral:rRNA from 1 species
ACGGAACCGGAGCUAAUACGAUAUAUAUUGAACCGCAUGGUUCAAUAGUGAAAGACGGUUUUGCUGUCACUUAUAGAUGGAUCCGCGCCGCAUUAGCUAGUUGGUAGGUAACGGCUUACCAAGGCAACGAUGCGUAGCCGACCUGAGAGGGUGAUCGGCCACACUGGAACUGAGACACGGUCCAAACUCCUACGGGAGGCAGCAGGU